AGAGCCAGUGGUCGAGAACGUAAAAUGUGGUCGAGCGAGCAGAGGACGGUUUCCUUCGAGCGCACAGGCAGCGGGAGCGCGCACAUUGAACACGUUGCAGUGGAAACCGGAUUUUGACGGUGAAAGGCAAGGGGAUGGUGAAGUAGGAACGAUGUUUGACAAUAAGAAGGGCUGUGUGUGCAGAGAACACGUAUGUCUGACAAGGUGGAGUCAGGCUUUUACUUCAUCACCCUGGACCACUACACCUAUGAGGCAGAGGAUGCCAAGUUUGGACCUGUGAGCCACCUUUGACCUUGACAUAACUUUCUUCUAAGGCUUUUGGGGUCAUGGGUGUUCCCUAACUCAUCUUGUGCCUUACACAUCUCCGCACAUAUGCAGCCCCCAUCUGCCCCAAUGGCUUGUACCUGUUGUGUUGGCGUAGUUACCAAACCAGUGGGAGGAUGUGUUGACAGUGAUUUGUUCCAGUGUGAUCCUCAAGCUUUCGCUGUGCCAACACCAUGCCUGGCGACAACCAGAUGAUAUUCCUCCACCCUGGAUCACAGUGGACACACUCCUAAUCUCUCUGUGUAUGUUUGUUGCACAUGAGAGCGUGCGUAAUGGGUCUAUAUAUGCAAAUUUGUGUGUAGUGGAGGAUAUAUACGUUUAUGUAUAUGAGUCUAUUCAGUAUGUAUACCUCCUGAAUUAAAGGCCUCACUUUGCUUGUG